AGUAACACGUGGGUAACCUGCCCGGAAGUGGGGAAUACCUCGGGGAAACUCGAGCUAAUACCGCAUGACAUCUUCGGGACGAAAGUCCUGACGAUCAAAGCGGGGUCGCAAGAUCUCGCGCUACCGGAUGGGCCCGCGCCCGAUUAGCUAGUUGGCGAGGUAAUGGCUCACCAAGGCUUCGAUCGGUAACCGGCCUGAGAGGGCGAUCGGUCACACCGGAACUGAGACACGGUCCGG
rnacentral:rRNA from 1 species